UAGCGUAAUCACUUGUCCUCUAAUUGGGGACUGGUAUGAACGGCCCCAUGAGGGCCUAACUGUCUCCUCUGACCCGUCAAUGAACCUGAUCUUCCAGUACAAAAGCUGGACUGAACCCAUAAGACGAGAAGACCCUGUGGAGCUUCAGAUUUCGCGCUAAAACACCCGUUACAUAGCGCGCCUCUUCAGUUGGGGCAACUACGGAAUAAAACAAAACUUCCAUGCCACGGACUAUGUCCCACAAAGGCGCACACUCCAAUGUGAUUCCCCAAACGACCCAGCACAGCUGAUUAACGAACCAAGUUACCCCAGGGAUAACAGCGCCAUCCUCUUCAAGAGCCCCUAUCGUCAAGAGGGUUUACGACCUCGAUGUUGGAUCAGGACCCCCAGGUGGUGCAGCCGCUACCAAAGGUUCG
rnacentral:rRNA from 1 species